rnacentral:lncRNA from 1 species
AUUUUGGAUAAAGUUUCUUCUAGGUGUUGAAUAAUAAUACUUGAGAACUAAACCAUGAUACCACCUCUGAAAAUUUUCGUUUGGCUCUGAUACCACUGGGUGUAUACAGGUACGUGGCGUUGUUACACUUGAACUAUGAUAGUGCUAGACUAUCCUUUGGACCAGUAGUCCGCAAGUUUCUGGUUUCCAACCGAUAUACCUAUAGUCCCUGAGAUAUAAAACCUAAAAAAGCAAAAACCAUUGAUCACGAUACCACCCGAAAACAGGUCACCUCUGACCUUCAAGAGGGUGAACGUUGUGAGAAAAUAGUUUUAUUUUAAAUCGGUUUAUAAAUAAAUUAGGACUUUUCUGAUACACAGGAUCCUUGAAGCAAGGCAAGUGUAGAGCAUACUCAGUCUAAAAAAUAGAGAUGAACGCUCUUAGUUUAAUAACUCAAGUUUUUUCUUCAUUACUUAGAAGAAGAAGAGAGACUUAGGAAGCCAUAGAAGUUUAAGAAAAACUUAGAAAUAUUAUUGAUGGCAAUCUGAAGGAGUUAAAUCAAUUUGAGAGAAAUAAUGUGUGGAACUAGUCGCUAAACCAAAACAUCAAUCUGUUAUAGGUAUUAAGUGGGUAUUUAGAAAUAAAAUGGAUGAAUACAAUAUGGUUGUAAGGAAUAAAGGUAGAUUAGUGGCUCAAGGAUACAAUCAAGAAGAAGCAAUUGAUUUUGAUGAAACAAUUGCACUUGUAGCUAGAUUGGAAUCCAUUAGGAUGCUAUUAGUAUUUGCAUGUCAUAAACUUUUCAUUUUGUAUCAAAUGGAUGUCAAAAGUGCUUUCUUAUAUGGUUAUAUUACAGAAGAAGUUUAUGUGAAAUAACCCCUGAUUUUGAAAAUGAAAAAUUUCCAAAUCAUGUUUAUAAGUUAUCUAAAGCAUUAUAUGGUUUAAAGCAAGCACCUAGAGCAUGGUAUGAUAGGCUUAGAAAUUUCUUAUUAGAUAAUGGUUUUUCAAUGGGAAAAGCAGACACUACUUUUUUUUAUCAAGCAUAAGAACCAAGAUAUACUUAUAGUUCAAAUUUAUGUUGAUGAUAUUAUCUUUGGUUCAACUAAUCAAUCUUUUGUGUGAGGAAUUUUCAUCUUGCAUGAGUAAAGAAUUUGAAAUGAGCAUGAUGGGAUAAUUGAAGUGUUUUCUCGGACUUCAAAUCAAACAAAACAAUGAGGAAUCUUCAUCAAUCAAGCCAAACAUAUCAAAGAUUUACUCAAAAGAUUCGGACUUGAAGAUGGAAAGGCUAAAAGUACUCCAAUGAGCUCAACAAUUAAGCUUGAUAAGGAUGAAAAAUGUAAAGAGGUUGACAUCAAAAUGUAUUGAGGUAUGAUCAUAUCUUUACUUGUUGGUGAUAUGCCCUAAAGGCCAAUCGAAUGGUAUUUGCUUUUAGGGAAUUAUUGUAUUUGAUUAGCAUUUUGAUAUUUAUAAAAUGGUAAAAUUAUCAACAUUCAUAAAUUAAUUUAAUGAAUAUAGUUAGAGAAGUAAAAUAGUAAAGGAACACAUUCUCGAGUUUUGUCCGAGAAUAUGAAAUGUGUAUCUUUUGUACUAUACUUCUAAAAUAGUUCCUAGUGGUGGAUUUAUGAUUGGCCCAUCAAAAUUUCCUAUAAACACUAGUAUGUGUUAUGAAAUGGAUGAUGAGUUUCAUAACAUUGACGUGAGAUGUCAAGUCAAACAAACACAUAGGUACUUGUUGUGAAAACAAGUUUUACUGAACUUGACCAAAUAAUAAUUAAGGCCAUAUGGUUUUGAGUGUUAAUGCUUAUUAUACAUUGUGGUAGACACUAUGUUUAGUAAUGGUCUUUAGACCUGAGGCAUCACAUAUGUCAUGUACAUAGACAUCUUUGAUAUGUGAAAGCAUAAGGAUUUGAUUCCUAAUCAAGGAAGAUAUCGAGCAAUAGCUGUCAUGGUUGGUUAUGUAUGAAGACAAGUUUAUUGCCAAUAUGGAAUUCAUCACUUUGUAAUAAACAAAAAGGAUGUCCCUGUAAGAUAAUAUGAAUCGGCAUGAGAAAUCCUUGCCAAGGUGAAAUAUAUUUGAAGGAGUUCAAAAUUAUAUUUUUCAUGCCACGUUCAUUUAAGAUUUCUUUUUAAGAUAAAGCAUAAAUGCUUGACACACUAAACCAUAAGCCAUGCUUUUCUUUGGACCAUGGAUGAUGAAGAGACCAGCACAUAGGGAAACAAUGGAAUAGGUUCUAUGGAUCCAGUAAUUCUUGUUAUUUGGGUGGUUGUGAAAUACUGCUAGGUGUCACUUAUGACUUGUAGAAACCUUAAGAUCAUUAUUGGUAAAGCAUAUUAGCAACACAUCUUAAGGUCAUUAGAAAAGUUUCUAAUUAUCACUAAAAUAGUUCUACUACCUUAUAACAAAGAACCUAAAAGGUCACAGAUCUAAUAGAAAUGAAAAAGGAGUUACUAGAAAAUGAGAAGUUAAAUACCCUAAUUUUAGGAAAAUCAGUAUUUAUAUUAUAAUUCAUUAAGAAUGAAUAAUAUAUAUCUUAAUAUGAUUUAAGAUAGAAAUUUUGAUGUUCCAUAAAUAGUUUAAGGAAAAAAUAAAUUUCAUAAAUCCUCAAUCAAACAUUAAGUAUAACAUCAACACGUAAAAUGACCAUAUUGGACAUGUUUCGGUUCACAAAUGAUUAUGGACUUCUAGACCAAUUUUGGGUCUAGAAUUUAGGGCUUUUAUUGGACCUAAUAUGGAUUAGGAAAAAGCAUAAGAACAUGUCACAAAAGAAGGCCACAAUUAACCAUUUGAUUUUAUCAAAAUGGGCUUAAUUAAUUAAAGAUAAAAUUAAUUAAUUAGGCUAUUUAUUUAUUCAAAAUUAAUUUGAUUAAAUAAAUUAUUGAAGUGAUAAGAUCACAUCCAAUAAAGAAUGGCUUAGUGGGUGGGUCUAGCUCAUGAUAAUGUUUGGUGCCAUUAUUGAAAAGAUAAUGGUGGCUUUAUUUGGUGGAAUGAAUCAUCAUGAACUAGCAUUCAUGUUUCUUCAUUAUCUCUCUCAUUUCCAAACGAAAUUUGGUGAUUCCAAAUCCUAUGAACUCCUGGAACAUUUCUAAGUAUGUAUUGAUUAGAGGCAUCACAAUUGGGGUGCUUUAAGGAUCUCAAAUCGUGAAAAACAGAAGUUGUUCGUGCAGUGGUCUAUUUCCUGGAUAGUGUUCGUACCUUGUUGUUUUCAGCCAUUUUCUCCUACCUCACAAAGUUGAUUAUGAAACUGCAAGUAAGGUAAAUGAUAUAAACCAUGUCAAGAACUGACGCGGCUUUAAUCAAUUUAGUCCCUUAGAUCAAAUCUAAAUUAGGAAUUGAAUGGAACCUUGACCCAAUGCUUAAUGAAAGUUGUUCGUGCAGUGGUCUAUUUCCUGGACAGUGUUCGUACCUUGCUGUUUUCAGUCAUUUCUCUCCUACCUCAUGAAGUCAAUUCUGAAACUACAAGUAAGGUAAAUGAUACAAACCAUGUCAAAAAAUUGACGCGACCCUAAUCAAUUGUCCCUAAGAUCAAAUCUAAAUUAGGAAUUGAAUGGAACCUUGACCCAAUGCUUAAUGAAAGGACGAACCUUGGCAUGUGAAGACGCCACAAUCAGCUAUGGAUGGUCUGAUUGAUACGUUAAGAGUUUGAACACCACGGAAAUUCGAUAAGUUCAAAGUGUUUGUAAAGAACCAAAGAGAAUUAACUCCCCCACCAAUUGCAUAAAAAACUUAUCUAUUUAUUAGAUACGAGUACAUUAUAUAGGGUUGGUUACAAGAAUUUGUAAAUCCUAAACCAAAAAUCAAAUCUGAAUACGAAUCUAAAAAAAUAGGAAAGAAUCAAAUUAAAUCAGAAUCCUAAUCUAAGCGAAUAGGAAAGAAUCUAAAUCAAAUCAGAAUCCUAAUCUAAGUAAAUAGGUAAGAAUCUAAAUCAAAUCAAUUGGCUUAAAUUCCAUACAUCAAUUAAAAUGGAAGCUAGGCGAUUAAAAUAGAAAUAACUGAUUUGCUUCCCUAAUAGCCUCCUCAAGAAACGGGAAAAUAUUGAAAAAGGAAAAUAAUAUAUUUUCCUGCCAUAACGUGCAAGCCAACUCCCUAUUUCAUCAAAGUGAUUAUUUAGAAACUUCAAGAGCCUAAAUCAUGCAUUUAUCAUGUGCGAUUCCUUUAACGGGCCUCCACGAAUUUGUUGAGCCCAAGUUGCUUGAAUCAAUCCAUUAAGCGCUUCUUUAAUUUCUUUGGUCGAGCUCUUGUAACGGGUCCGACGGGAACUUGAAUAGGAUCUGAAUAUGUCUCAUCCCAUGUGCUUGUGAUAGUUUUAUCCUUAAUCCGAUCAUUCCCCUCCUCUUGAAGAGGAUUUGUCCUCAAAUCAUCACCUACAUCAAAAGGACUCAAAUCAGAAACAUUAAAAGUAGCACUUACAUUGUACUCACCCAGCAAAUCCUGUUUAUAUGCAUUGUCAUUGAUCCAUUCAAAAAGUUGGAAUGGGCCAUCCCCUCAAGGUAAUAACUUAGAUUUCCUUCGUUUCAGAAAUCGUUCCUUGCACAUGUGUAAUCACACCCAAUCGCCAGGUUCAAAGACUAGCUUAUAUCGCCCUUUGUUGGCUUGUUUAGCAUAGUGCUCAGUUCUUCGUUUAAUGUUGAACUUUCGCCUUCUUGUGUAUCUGUUUAAAAGUUUCAGCCUUUUUCUUGCCAUCUAAAUUAACACGCUCUGAAACAGGUAAUGGAGUUAAAUCCAAUGGGGUUAAAAACUUAAAACCAUAAACAAUUUCAAACGGUGAAUACUUAAUAGCAGAAUGAACGGAACGAUUAUAAGCAAACUCAAAUAUGUGGUAAAACAAUCUUCUCAAGUUUUGAUGUUUUUUUUAAUGAUAGCUCACAACAGAGUAGAUAAAGUUCUAUUCACAACUUCUGGUUGACCACCAGUUUGAAGGUGACAAGUAGUUGAAAACAACAAGUUGGUUCCUACUUAGCCCAUAAUGUUUUCUAAAAGUAUCUUAAAAACUUUACAUCCCUAUCAGAAACAAUUGUCCUAGGCAUACCAUGCAACCUUACAAUCUUCCUAAAGAAUAGGUUAGCGACAUUAGAAGCAUCAAUUCGUUUUGUGGCAUGGAAUAAAAUGUACCAUAUUUUGAAAAAUCUAUCUACAACCAUAAAAAUUGAGUCUUUCCCUUGUUUAGAUCUAGGUAAACCUAGCACAAAAUCCAUCGAAACAUCAGUCCAAGGGGCACUAGGUAUUGGCAAAGGGGUGUAUAAGCCAUAAGGUUGCACUUUCAACAUCUCAUCUCAUUUUACAACUCCAAAAUGCCCCAUUAACCCUCCUCCAUGGGAUUAUCUCACUACACAUAGUUUAUUCUCCCAAAAUAAAUAGCCAUCAUGCCUAAAGUAUUUACUGACUGCAGUCUUUUCACAAGCUUGGUAUUCAACCAUAAAAUCAUGGUCAUCAGUAUACAAUUCCUUAAUAUGUUCAAAACCAAGUAGUUUAGCAUUAAGUGUUGAGAUUAAGACAUAGCUGCGGGAAAGCGCAUCUGCAACAACACUUUCCUUACCUUGCUUGUAACGAAUGACAUAUGGAAAUGUCUCUAUGAAUUCUACCCAUCGAGCAUGUCUCUUGUUCAGUUUGUGUUGGCCUUUAAAGUGUUUCAAGGACUCAUGAUCGGUGUGAAUCAUGAACUCCUUAGGCCAUAGGUAGUGCUGCCAUGUUUCUAACACUCGAACAAUGUAUACAACUCCUUAUUGUAAGUAGGGUAGUUUAAGGUUGUCCCACUCAGUCACUAAAGUAAGCAAUUGGUCGUCCCUCCUACAUUAGGACUGUGCCAAUACCAAUAUCUGAGACAUCGCAUUCAAUUUCAAAUGUUUUAUUAAAUUUAGGCAAAGACAAUUAGGGAGCAUUGGUCAGUUUUUGCUUGAUCAUUUGAAAUGCCUUCUCUUGCACUUCUCCCCAUUUGAAUCCAACAUCUUUUUUUAUUACUUUAGUAAGAGGUGUGACUAAUGUGCUACAAUCUUUCACAAAUCGUUGGUAGAAACUAGUGAGCCCAUGAAAGCUUCUCACAUUACUUACACUUGUGGGACUUGGGCACUCUUGGAUUGCUCGUACCUUUUCCCCAUCAACCUGUAUACCCUGUGGACUCACAACAAAUCCUAGAAACACAAGUUUAUCGAUGCAAAAAGUACACUUCUUCAUAUUAGCAAACUACUUUUCUUUCUAAACACAUCUAAAACAUAUUUCAAAUGUACUACAUUAUCAUUUAUGUUUUUUGAUGAGAACCAUCAAGGGAAUACCAUUAAAGCUUCAAGUGAUCCUUUGCACAUUCAUGGAGGCCCAAUUACAAGAGCUAGAGCCAAAAAGAUGCAAGCUGCAUUAAAUGGAUUAAUUGAGAAAAUAUGGAUUGAAAAUGCAAUUCAAGAUGCAAGACAUCAUGAAUUGGGCUUGAAGAGAAGACAAGGCAUUGUGGGCAUUAUUCAAGCUAUUGGGCAGCCAAAUACACAAUUUGGAUCAAAUGCAGAAAGGGAAAAUUUGGAAUAAAUCUGGUAUUGAUUGAGCCAGAAUUAAUGUUCAAGCUAUAUACCGUUGGAAAUAUAAUUAAGUUAGUUUUCCAAUGCAUUUUACAGAGCUGGAUUGGAGUUCUCUAGAAGGAGUUAUGAUCAAUUUAUUACAGCUUGUUCAGGCUUGGGAAUUCAAACGACUCCUUUGAUUAUUCAACUUCAUUUAUUAGUUUUGUGUCAAGUUUAUCAAUGUGUUAGGUAAGUCUAUCAUUAAUAAUAGUGGGUUGGUGAAGGCUUUUAAAGCACCCUUUGAUAAACCUAUACUUGGAGGGUUGUUCCAAUGUUUCCAUUUGUAUUUUUAGGAUCUUGGGUUUCUUUUAGCCUAUUUAAACUCAAUAACCUUGCUAUGUAUGAUAAUUAAGAGAUUAAUAUUAUUUGAAUUUGAAAGAUUAUUCUUUCUUUGGUUCUUUUGAGAACUAGUGAACUUAUCAAGAAUUUGCAUUCUUGUGGCGUUCCAAAUUUAGACUUAUCACUCACCUUCUCAUCUAUUUAUUGAGUGUGGUGUCAAUAUCAUUCUCUAUACCUUUGGUUCAUGCUUUUCUUAAGCAUUGGGUCAAGGUUUUGUUUGUCAUAAAUCUGUUUAGAACUUUCUUGGGAAGUUGAAACUACAAUUUAAGUGUGAGUUUCAAAGUUUCAUUGGGAAAUUCGUAUCAUUUGGUAUCAAAGCUAGUUUCUAAUCAGGUUUGAAUGUAUUACUUAUUUUGAUUAUCAAAAAAAAAAAGAAGAGAAAAAAACGUACAAAAAAAAAAAUUACAAAAGGAUUCAAGUAUUUCUACUUUCAUCAAAUUGAAUUUUAGUUAUUCAUUUUCCUUGACAUUGCUUACACACAAUAUCAAUUGUGUUGCUUCGCUUGCUUGCUUUCCUUGCUUCAAUUACAAAAGGAUUACAAAAGGAUUCAAGUAUUUCUACUUUCAUCAAAUUGAAUUUUAGUUAUUCAUUUUCCUUGACAUUGCUUACACACAAUAUCAAUUGUGUUGCUUCGCUUGCUUGCUUUUCUUGCUUCAAUUUCCUUUUCAUUCUUUGUGUUCUCUUAAUUUCUUUUCUUUGUUAGUGUGCUGGAUUGUCAUAUUUGGUGUGCCACUUGGGUUUUUUUUCUUGAUUGUGUUUAUUUAGUUCAAUAAAUAACUGAAAGAGAGAAUUAAGUGUGGUAAAAGGCAAAAGUUUGUGAGAUCAUUAGAGGGAAAAAGUCAAUUUGUGUGUUAAACACGAGAGUUAAGUGACAUCAAAUUGAGUGAAACAUGUGAGGGAGCGCAUGAAUCUGAUGUUUGGAGAGAUCCAAGACAAAUUGGAGAGGCAAGACACUGUCAUAGCCAAUCUACAAAGGGGGCAACAACCAAUAGCUCCUAAUGUAAGAGGUAAUCAAGGGCGUGCUGCCAUGGGAGAAGAAGAUGGUGAUGACUUAGAUAAUUUUGAUGACUAGGCCACUGUUGACAUGCGUUGAAGAGAUGAUAGAAGGGCAAGACGUAUAGAUCAUGAUUUGGGGAGUAUCAAACUAAAAAUUCCUUCUUUUCAAGGUAAAAAUGAUCCGGAAGUUUAUUUGGAGUGGGAAAAAAAGGUGGAGCUAGUAUUUGAUUGCCACAACUAUUCUGAGGAGAAAAAGGUAAAACUAGCUGCUGUUGAAUUUACUGAUUAUGCUAUUAUUUGGUGGGAUCAACUUGUUUUGAGUAGGAGAAGAAAUUGUGAAAGGCCUAUAAACACUUGGGAGGAGAUGAAGGCCAUCAUGAGGAGGAGAUUUGUUCCUAGUCAUUAUUAUAGGGAGCUUCACCAAAGGCUUCAAAGCCUUACACAAGGUUCCAGAAGUGUGGAAGAUUACCACAAGGAGAUGGAAAUAAUCAUGAUUCGAGCCAACAUUAAAGAAGAACGAGAGGCCACUAUGGCAAGAUUUUUACAUGGUUUAAAUCAAGAUAUUGCUAAUGUGGUUGACUUGCAGCACUAUGUUGAGUUGGAAGACAUGGUUCACAUGGCCAUGAAAGUGGAAUGACAACUGAAAAAGAAAGGUUCCACUAGAACCAAUUUGGGUUCAUCUUCCUCAUGGAAGUCAAAAUGGAGCAAAGAUGAAAAGGCUAUUUCAAAACUGAUUCCCAACACUCUAGAAAUAGAGAUAUUAAGUGUUUUAAAUGUUUGGAGACAGGUCAUAUUGCAUCUCAAUGCCCAAAUAAGAGAGUAAUGAUCUUGAGGGAUGAUGGAGAUGUUGAAACCGAGAGUGAAUCAGAUGAUGAACCUAUGCCACCUUUGGAGGAUGCUAAUGAUGGUGUAGAGUAUCCUGUUGAUGGUAAAUUGAUGGUUGUUAGGCGUGCUCUCAACGUGCAAGUAAAAGAAGAUGCAGAGGUACAACGUGAUAACAUCUUUCAUACUAGAUGCCACAUCAAAGAUAAGGUAUGUAGUAUGAUAAUUGAUGGUGGAAGUUGUACUAAUGUGGCUAGCACUAGUUUAGUUGAAAAAUUGAAUUUGAAAACUUUGAAACAUCCUAGGCCAUAUAAGCUACAAUGGCUGAAUGAUUGUGGGGAAGUCAAAGUAAAUAAACAAGUGCUGGUUUCAUUCUCUAUUGGGAGAUACAAGGAUGAAGUUCUAUGUGAUGUAGUACCCAUGCAUGCUGGACACAUUCUUUUGGGGCGACCUUGGCAAUAUGAUAGGUGUGUGACACAUGAUGGUUACUUAAAUAGAUAUUCUUUUGUAAUGAAUAAAAAGCAAAUCACUCUUGCACCAUUAACACCUAAGCAAGUGUAUGAGGAUCAAAUGUCAAUACAAAAAGAGAGUGAUACAAAAAAAAGAAAAUGAGAGUACAAAAGAAAGAGAGAUUGAGAGAAAAACAAGUGAAAAGAUAGAAAAAAAUAUUGUUGAGAGAAAAUAGAGGCAACAAGUGAACUUUUUUGCAAAAGAGAGCGAGGUUACGAGGGCUUUCUUUUCAAAACAGCCUAUCAUUGUACUUUUGUACAAAGAGGCUUGUUUACAUACUAAUGAGCUUAACUUUUCUUUGCCUAGUGCCAUUGUGACUCUUUUGCAGGACUUUGAUGAUGUGUUUCCAAAUGAAGUCCCUAAUGGUUUGCCACCUAUUAGGGGAAUUGAGCAUCAAAUAGACUUAGUCCCUGGAGCUACCAUUCCUAAUAGACUUGCAUAUAGAAGUAACCCCGAGGAGACAAAUGAGCUUCAAAGGCAUGUUGAAGAACUCUUGGCAAAGGGAUAUGUGAGGGAGAGCAUGAGUCCAUGUGCGGUACCAGUUUUACUAGUGCCCAAAAAGGAUGGCACAUGGAGGAUGUACGUUGACUGUCGUGCAAUUAAUCCAUGCGGCAAAUUCUUGAAGUCGAGCUAGCCAUUUAUGAUGGGGAAUGUCAUCAAAUGUGAACCAAGAUGCUGAAGAUGGUUUUGUUGAGUGAUCAGGGACUAGUGGAGGCAUUGAUGGCUCUGGUUCUGUUGGUUCUGUUGGAGAUGCUUUAUUUUCAGCAUCAAAAGAACUAUCUUCAACAAUAGGUGUGGCGGUUGAAGUGCUUGGAUCUUCAGUUUUGGUGCCCAUUAAUAUGCAUGUAAUGUCAGCAUAUUCAGAUUCAGAGUCAGUGGAGGUACCGACUGAGUUUGUGGAUGAGGAAGAGGAAGACGGGUUGGACUUGUAUACUGUUUCUGGCUCAGAGGAGUCAGAAGAUGUGUUUUGGAUAGUAUGAUAAUGAUAUUGAUACAUUGGGCCUUUGUCUUUUUUGGGAGGUUCAGGAGUGGCUUUUGGUGAAUCUUCUGAUGGUACCGGAGGAACUGAUGAAGAUGAAGUGGCCUUUGACUUUGGUUCUAAGAUUUUGACUUUGGAUUUUGAUUUUUUGGGUGAAGAUGGCUUGGGUUGAGGAGUUGGUUGAAGGUGGGAGAAUCCAAAGAACUGAUUGUAAACAGGUUGUUGAGGUCUGGAAGGUGUAUAGAAAGGUGCAUAAGUUUCAAAGAUCGAAGGAGGUACUGUUGGGGUUUGUGUUUGAGUAAAAAGGGAAGGUUGAGUCUUUUUAGCAUCAAUUCAUGUCAAUUCAACUUUGAGCUUUCUGAUCUCUGCUUUUUUUUUUAUUGAACUCUGGACCCCAGAUGUGGUUGUUGAUCAUUCGUCGGAGACCGGUGUCUAGCUCAGCGAUACGAUCUUGUUGAUGUAUGUACAUCUGAUCAAGACGAUUGCUGAUUGAAUCAACUUUAGUUUAAGUCUGAGAGACUUGACUGGCACCUCGAUCAAUUUUCUUUCCGAGUUGUUGAAGAGAUUGGUUCUGAGCAUUGGCAUUUUUGGUUUGCCAAUUUAAAAUAACUUUAUACUGUUUGGGCUCUUCAGGUUGCCUAUAGGCUGUAACUGGGGAUUGGACAAAAGGUUUUGACAUAACUCUGGUUUGUGUGUCUGUCUGUUUUUCAAGUGGAGGGAAUGAUUCCUCAUAAGAUUGGCUUGAAAACAUCAGGCAUGAUCUUAUUGGAUGAACAGGAGGUUUGGGAUCUGGAGGAGGUUGUGGAGGAAAGGAUUUGGAGUUGAUUCAAUCAGCAAUCUUCCAAAGUCAUGUUCCAAACACAUAGCCUCCAAAAUUGAAAACCUUGUUGAAUAUUCCUAUAUCCCCGAGUCUGCCCAAAUUAAUGAAUCUCAGUUCCCUACCAGAAGUAUCUAAACCCUAAUCUCCACCAAGAGACCACUCCCAAAAGAAUAUAUUCAAUCUUCUAGACUGGAUCAGUGUGCUUUACAAGCCUCUCAAAGUAAGCAAUAUGUCACUUUAGAAAUACCCCAAGAUCUCGUCGCCAACUGGAAACGAGAAGGGUAUACGCAGCUCCAUAUUGGUGGUGUUAGAUUAAUUCUGACCCUCCAUGGCUGAAAAGGUUUACCUGUUAUAGCUAGGAUUGCUCUGUUAGACACCAGGUUCAAACAGUACCAACAUGCUGUUGUAGGAACCGUCCUAACCACACUACAUGUUGGCAGUGUCUUGUUAACCUUUUACCCAAAUUUCAACCUCUCUCUUGAGGAUCCCAAUCUUCCGACAACCCUUAAAGUCCAAAUCCAGCUCCAAGGACCAGAAAAAAUACCCACAUCCAAGAUUGCAACCCUCCAUCACCAAAUAGUGUAUCGAUUACAGAAUCAUGCACUUGAUCUUCCCACACCACACACCACAUCUGAUGCCUUAAUGAUUCUUGCAGACACAGACACAAUUCCAACCAUCAUCCAAAUUCCCAAACAAAUCUAGAAACAAGAAUUGUUCAAACUCAUGCCUCUUGAAUGGUUAUCCAACUAUGAACAUUUCCACUAAAACUCUGAACCAGUUCAAACAACAGAAGCCACGUUUGAAAGACAACAAAAUGGUCAAGCCAAACUAUCUUUUCAAACACCUGACACCAAGCCUGUUUCAGACACUUCACAGCUUUCCUACACUGCUAUGAUAACAGCAGUUCAAACUGGUCAAGAAAAGAAACUUUUCAUUCAUGGUUUCUCAUCAGAAGGAUAUCCAGUAUAUCCAAAUAAAAUCAAUGGUCACUUCUUACGGGAUGUUCCUGAAGCCCAUAUGUGCAAUCCAGAUUGUCCUUGCUUGGAUGAUACGGAUGUUGAUAAAGAAUUGGAAGUUAUGAGGAGAAAGAAACAAAAAAAGGAAAAAUCUUCUCAUCCAAAACCAUCUUGCAAAUCCUUUCCUUCACAACCUCCUCCAGAUCCCAAACCUCCUGUUCAUCCAAUAAGAUCGUGCCUGAUGUUUUCAAGCCAAUCUUAUGAGGAAUCAUUCCCUCCACUUGAAAAACAGACAGAUACACAAACUAGAGUUAUCUCAAAACCUUUUGUCCAAUCCCCAGUUACAGCCUUUUGGGCAACCUGAAGAGCCCAAAUAGUAUGAAGCUGUUUUAAAUUGGCAAACUAAAAAUGCCAAUGCUCUGAACCAAUCUCUUCAACAACUUAGAAAGAAAAUUGAUCGAGUUGCCAGUCAAGUCUCUCAGAUUGAAACUAAAGUUGAUUCAAUCAGCAAUCGUCUUGAUCAGAAGUACAUACAUCUACAAGAUCGUAUCGCUGAGCUAGACACCGAUCUCCGACGAAUGAUCAACAACCACAUUUGGGGUCCAGAGUUCAAUAAAAAAUGAAGCAGAGAUCAGAAAGCUCAAAGUUGAAUUGACAUGAAUUGAUGCUGAAAAGACUCGACCUUCCCCUUUUACUCAAACACAAAUCCCAACAGUACCUCCUUCGAUCUUUGAAACUUAUGCACCUUUCUAUACACCUUCCAGACCUCAACAACCUGUUUACAAUAGUUCUUUGGAUUCUCCCACCUUCAACCAACUCCUCAACCCAAGCCAUCUUCACCCAAAAAAUCAAAAUCCAAAGUCAAAAUCUUAGAACCAAAGUCAAAGGUCACUUCAUCUUCAUCAGUUCCUCCGGUACCAUCAGAAGAUUCACCAAAAGCCACUCCUGAACCUCCCAAAAAAGACAAAGGCCCAAUGGAUCAGUAUCAUUAUCAUACUGUCCAAAACACAUCUUCUGACUCCUCUGAGCCAGAAAUAGUAUACGAGUCCAACCGGUCUUCCUCUUCCUCAUCCACAAACUCAGUCGGUACCUCCACUAACUCUGAAUCUGAAUAUGCUGACAUUACAUGCAUAUUAAUGGCCACCAAAACUGAAGAUCCAAGCACUUCAACCGCCACACCUAUUGUUGAAGACAGUUCUUCUGAUGCUGAAAAUAAAGCAUCUCCAACAGAACCAACAGAACCAGAGCCAUCAAUGCCUCCACCAGUCCCUGAUCACUCAACAAAACCAUCUUCAGCAUCUUGGUUCACAUUUGAUGACAUUCCCCGUCAUAAAUGGACAGCUCGACUUCAAGAAUUUACCACAUGGAUUGACAUCUAAGGAACCAAACCUAAUGCUCAACCUCAAGUUAUUCUCCGUGAAUUCAUGGCCCGAUUAAUGGGUUCUUUGCGAGACUGGUUAAAAAGCUUGGGAGAAUACCGGCAACUCCAAUUCAUGUAAUCUCCAAUUGGCACAGCACUCAAUAUCAUCCAUGAAUAAUUCAUCGGUGAAAAGACAGCAUCUACCGAUGCAGAUAGAAAAGAGUAUCAUCAGAAAAGAGUAUCAGCAGAUAGAAAAGACAACAUCUUUUGGAAUCUCAUUACAAAAGGAUGAUUAUUCUAUUUUAUAAGCUGAAUGGAUUCAACGAGCCAUCUCUCAAACAUGUCUUCAUAUCCUCUCUUCCUUUUGAGUUACAACCUGAUCUUCAAAGGAAACUCACAGCCACUAAUCUCAGCAUAGCUGAUAUCUCUCUGGGAAAGAUUUUCCAAAGACUGUGGCUGAUUCUCCAAUGAAUUGCUCGUGAGUAACAGAAAGAGCAAAUGAGACAUUAGGUAGUUGCACAAACUGUAAUUGUUUGUACUCUCUUAAAGUAUCAAACCAAUCUCUUAAAGAGCCUGUAAAACGGGUAGCAAGUUCUCUAAGGACGGAUGUUGUAGUAGCAUUUGCUCUUAACAUUUGGAGAUCUAUCCAAGCAGCCAUUUCGGAUAAUCUAUCUCUCCAUUUAGCUGCAGGGAUAUCAUCAAAAGUGAACCAUGGACCAUUUGAAGGUUUAUGAUCAUGGUGGGAUUGAGCAAGGCCGGUUUGGAGCGGAGGAUGCUUCGGGUGGAUCUUCCUCAAUAUCUGAGGGUAUUUCAAAAAAUGGGUCAGUUCUUGAGGAUUGAGCAGGCUCAGUUUCUUCAGGUUGGGCCAUAAGAAUCCUAGUGAUAUUAGCAUAGGAUUUUUCAGAAUCACUAGAUGAGAUGGAAGAUUCAAGGGAAGAGUCUGUGUCGGAUUCAGAUUGAUUGACUGAAACGGCGAGAUUUGAAUAAGAAGUUUGGUCUAUAUCAGAUGGGUCUGGGAUUAUCUGUGCACUAUAUUGGUGCAUUGGUGAUUUAUCUUUGGCCUGAGUUGGUGUUGGUUGAGGAGGGAGUUGGGUAUAUAUAGGUGGUUGUGGUUCUGUGAUAGACAAAGGUGGAUGGAAGGGCUAUUUAUCGGGUCGUGGACAAGGAUGUGAUGUAGAUCUAGAUGUGUUCGGCAGAGGAUGUUUUCUGAACAAAGUAUGGGUCAUGCCAAAUAAUUUGGAUGGGUCUUGGGGCUUGAUUGGAGAAAGCAUAGGUGCAAAAGGAUGGAAGGUGGGGCUAAUAGUGGGUAACAGUGGAGAGGUAGUAAAUAAUGUUGGCCUUUGCCUAUCCAACUCAAUCUGUUCGAGUUCUGCUCUCAGCUUUCGGAUUUCCUUUUCCUUUUGAUCAAAUUCUGGACCAUUGUAGCUAUCACUCAGCAUGGUUCUUAAUUCUGAAUCUAGUUGGGAGAUUCAGGACUGAAGAUUCUGGUAAAUCUGCUGCAUCUGAGAAGUAAUCGAAUCCAUCUUAGAUUUAAUAUGAUCAGUUUGUAAACUAAUACGAUUAACCUUCUUAUGGACAUCAACUAAGGCUUCAUUUUGAGCUCUGGCAUUUUGUGUCUGCCAGUUGAGAACGGCUUCGAAAGGUUUGGGGUCUUCUAAAUGACCUGUAGGAGUGAUGGCGGAAGGAAUAAAGGGUUUAGUGAUGACCUUUCGUUGUAGAUCGGUAUGGGUUUCGAGGGCAGGAAAUUGGAGGAAUAAUCUUGUGGGGUGGAUGAGAACAUCAUACAAGCCAUAGGCUGCAUGGGUAAUGUGGACGGCUGAGGAUGGGGAAGGAUUUCAGUUUUGCAAUUUUUGGCAAUCCAUCUCAGUUCUUUUUGGUAGAUGGGUAAUGGAGCUGGUGGUGGUGGUGGAGGAUUAUGAGGUGGUUUAGGUUGGUUGUGUGAGCACUGAGUUUUAGGUAUUUUCUUUUUUGGUUUCCUUUUCCGCUGCAAGCCAACAUCAUCUUCUUCCCAAUCAUCCCAACAGGGACAAUCUGGGUCACAAUUUCCUGAUCCUGGUGAAUCCCAAAGAAAGUGGCCAUUAAGUUUGGCAGGAUAGACAAGAUAUCCUUUUGAAGUGAAUCCUGUAAUUGGCAACUUUUCUUGAGUGGUCUGGACAGCUGUUACCAUGGCUGAAUAAGUGAAUGAGAGCCGUGGAGGCUCCUCUGGUGCUGUUGGUGGAGGUCGAAAAAUCAUUCGGACCGUUCCAUCAGACCUUCUUUCAAACAUACUUUCUGUGGUCUGGAUAGGAGAAGUAUUGGCGUGGAACUUCUCAUAAUUUGAAAUCCAUUCCAAGGGCAUGAGUUUUAUGAGGUCAUGUCGAGGGAUCUAUCUUGGAAUUUGAAUGAUGAUUGGGAUCUGGUCUGAUUCUGCUAACACCAUGAGGGCGUCAGAGUGGUGCUCAGGCGAAGGAAGAUCUAAGGCAUGGUUCUGGAGCCGAUAGACCAAUUGAUAGUGAAGAGUGGCAAUUUUUGCAAAAGAGACUUGGUAUGCACCUUGAAUUUGCACUUGGACUUGCAAGGCAGUGGAGAGAUUAGUGUCUUGAAGAGAAAGGUUGAAAUUAGGAUAGAAAGUGAGUAAAACACUUCCAGCAUGAAGAGUGGUUAAGACAGUACAAUAACAGCAUCUUGGUAAUGCGUGAACCUAGUGUCUAGCAUAGCAAUUCUGGCCGUGACUGGUAAUCCUUUCCUUCCAUGUAAGGUUAGGAUUAGUCGGACUCCUCCGAUAUGGAGAUGAAUAUAACCUUCUCUUUGCCAAUUGGAAAUCAAGUCUGGGGGAAUUUCCAAAGUGGCAUAUUUUUCAGCUGUGGUAGCCUGAAGGGAACACUGAUCCAAUCUGGAUGACUGGAUGUAUUCUUUUGGAUGUGGUCUUUUGGUGGAAAUAAGGGUUCAAAUAUUGCGAGUAAAUGAGUGUGAUUGUUUAUAGAGGUGAUAAGGACUAAGAAGAGGAAAAGAAGAUUCAGGGAUCUGAGUAGAUUCAGGGAUAUAGGAAUAUUCAACUAAAUUUUUGAUCUUACUAGCAGUGUGUUUGGAGCAAGAUUUGGGUAAGGAAAGGGUGGAGGAAAGGGAAACUGGAGUUAUGAUAGAAGACGUAGAAGCAUUGUUGGAGGAAGUUGAUGCCAUGAGUAUGAAAUUCUCUCUGUCGUGGAAGACUUGAACGAAAAGAAAACAAAAAGCAAACUUUUAUCAUACCAUUUUUGAGAAAGAAAAGAGCAGAAGUUGGCUUUUAUCCAUGUUGAUAAGCAAACUUUUUGAUUCCAUACUUGACUGCCAAAAUCUCUUUGUAGAUCACAUGGUAAUUCUUUUCAGAGUCUUUGAAUUGUCUGCUUGCAUGUGCAUAGAAAUGACGUACACCAUUUAUCUCUUCAAGAAGGAUGGCACUCCAGUAAUCAUCACUGGCAUCGGUCAGUAAAAUGCGUUGUCCAGUUGUGGGAAUUCGGAGAGGAGGAGGUGACUGGGCUACGACCUUUAGUUGUUGGACUGCUUCUGUUUGUGCUGGUCCCCAUGGAGGGCACUAUUUUCUGAGCAUGCGGGACAACUGGCUUGUGUGGAUUGCAACUUUAGGGAUGAAAUCACGGACAUAAUUAACAAUCCCGAGGAAUUGUUGGAUCUGCUUUUUAUUGAGAUGUGUGUCCGGAAACUUUAAUAAUUCAGUUGCAAUGUGUGGACCAGGUUGAUAAUGGCCGUCUUUAAUCACCAUGCCAAGAAAGUGAAUUGAUUCUUUUGCUAUGCUGCUUUUCUUUUCAGAAAGCAUGAUUCCGUGUCCUGCACAAUCUGAAAGAAAUCCAAAAGGAGCUUCUGGUGGCUCUCAUGGUCAGAGGAAAAUAAUAAGAUAUCAUCAAUGUAUACCAAAGCAUGAUGAAGGAUAGGACUGAAGAUUUUUGUCAUGGCUUUUUGAAAUACUGCGAGUAAAGGAGUGUGAUCGUUUAUAGAGGUGAUAAGGACUAAGAAGAGGAAAAGAAGAUUCAGUGAUCUGAGCAGAUUCAGGAAUACAGGAAUAUUCAACUAAAUUUUCGAUCUUACUAGCAGUGUGUUUGGAGCAAGAUUUGGGUAAGGAGAGGGUGGAGGAAAGGGAAACUGGAGUUAUGAUAGAAGACAUAGAAGCAUUGUUGGAGGAAGUUGAUAGCAUAAUCAAUAAAUUCAACAGCAACUAGUUUUACCUUUUUCUCCUCAGAGUAGUUGUGGCAAUCAAAUACGAGCUCCACCUUUUUUUCCCAUUCCAAAUAAACUUCCGGAUCAUUUUUACCUUGAAAAGAAGGAAUUUUCAGUUUGAUACUCCCCAAAUCACGAUCUAUACGUCUUGCCCUUCUAUUAUCUCUUCCACGCAUGUCAACAGUGGCCUGGUCAUCAAAAUCAUCUAUGUCAUCACCAUCUUCUUCUCUCAUGACAGCACGCCCUUGAUUACCUCUUACAUUAGGAGCUAUUGGCCCCUUUUGUAGAUUGGCUAUGGCAGUGUCUUGCCUCCCCAAUUUGUCACGGAUCUCUCCAAACAUCAUAUUCAUGUGCUCAAAUUGUUGUUGCAUGGCUUUGAGGAUGAUUGAUCGGUCUAUAGCUUCUUGAUCUUUUGACAUAUUUGUGAUCUCACAAACUUUUGCCUUUUACCACACUUAAUUCUCUCUUUUAGUUCUUUAUUGAACUAAAUAAACAAAAUCAAGAAAAAAAAAACCCAAGUGGCACACCAAAUAUGACAAUCCAACACACUAACAAAAAAAAUAAAUUAAGAGGACACAAAGAAUGAAAAGGAAAGCAAGCAAGCAAGGCAACACAAUUGAUAUGUGUGAAAACUAUGCCAAGGAAAAUGAAUAACUAAAAUUCAAUUUGAUGAAAGUAGAAAUACUUGAAUUCUUUUGUAAUCAUUUUUUUUUGUACGUUUUUCUCUUUUUUUUUUUUUUGAUAAUCAAAAUAAAUAAGACAUUCAAACCUGAUUAGAAACUAGCUCUGAUACCAAAUGAUACGAAUCCCACAAUGAAACUUUGAAACCCACACUUAAUUUGUAGUUUCAACUUCUCAAGAAAGUUCUAAACAGAUUUAUGACAAACAAAACCUUGACCCAAUGCUUAAGAAAACAUGAACUAAAGGUAUAGAGAAUGAUAUUGACACCACACUCAAGAAAUAGAUGAGAAGGUGAGUGAUAAGUCUAAAUUUAGAACGCCACAAGAAUGCAAAUUCUUGAUAAGUUCACUAGUUCUCAAAAUAACCAAAGAAAGAAUAAUCUUUCAAAUUCAAAUAACAUUAAUCUCUAAUAUUAUUACAUAGCAAGGUUGUUGAAUUUAAAUAGGCUAAAAGAAACCCAAGAUCCUAAAAAUACAAAUGGAAACAUUGGAACAACCCUCCAAGUAGGUUUGUCAAAGGAUGUUUCAAAAGUCUUCACCAACCCACCAUAAUUAAUGCUAUCUUUGACAAACUUAAUGCUAGCCCUACUAUAAUUAAUGCUAUCAUUGACAAACUUAAUGUUAGCCCACCAUCAUUGAUGGUAGACUUACUUUACACAUUGACAAACUUGAAACAAAACAAACAAAUGAAGUUGAAAAACAAAGGAGUCGUUGAAAAUCCCAAGUCUGAACAAGAUGUAAUGAAUUGGUCAUAACUCCUUCUUGAGAACUCCAAAUCCAGCUCUGUAAAAUUGAUUGGAAAGCUAGCUUAAUUAUCUUUCCAACGGUGUAUAGGUUGCACAUUACUUCUAGCUCAAUCAAUAUAUGUUUUAUUCCGAAUUUGACCUUUCUACAUUUGAUACAAAUUGUGUAUUUGGCUGCCCAAUAACUUGAAUAAUGCCCACAAUGCCUUGUCUUCUCUUCAAGCCCAAUUCAUGAUGUCUUGCAUCUUGAAUUGCAUUUUCAAUCCAUAUUUUCUCAAUUAAUCCUUUUAAAGCAGCCUGCAUCUUUUUGGCUCUUGCUCUUGUAAUUGGGCCUCCAUGAAUGUGCAAAGGAUCACUUGAAGUUUUAAUGGUAUUCCCUUGAUGGUUCUCAUCAGUGUUUGUCUCUUGAUUCAGCCUAUAUCUUUCUUGAUUCUAAUGCUUUCAUUAAAUUAAAUCUAGAGAGCUUGUUCUAGGUUAUUUGAUGGAUAUUUAGAAAGAUCAAGAUAAUUGAGCUUGUAAUUAUUUUAGGGUUGUUAUUUUUAAAAGAAAGUGAAUUAUAAUUCUGAUGAUUGACUAAGUCUAAUGUUUAGUGGUGGAGAAUGAUUCCUUAACCAUAUUUCUUAUCAAAUUUAAAUUCUCUUGAAGCUGCUUUCUAUAAAAUUCAGAUUUUGUGCCUUAUCCAUAGUAAAUCAACUCCAAAUCCCCCCAAAUUUUAUUUGUGACUUCAUUAGUUUGUACUUAUUUUUAUCUGGAAAUUUUGAGUCAAUUUCUUUAAGUGAAGAUAGGGUUUUUUAAUUUAAUCUUUGUUGUUGGCCACAAUCCUCUGUGGGAAUGACCCUUGCUUACACCUCUAUACUAUAUAAAAAAAAAUGAUAAUUUUUAAGGCAAGGUUUUAAGUUAUGUGCUUUUUGAGUGCAUCACAAUGGAGCCCACGGGAAAAAUUAUCUUGAAUUUUCCCUCUCAAACUCAAUAUUUAAAGUUGGUUUUUCUUUUGGACAAUAAACAGAUUAUAUCCAAUAUUGUUAAUUGCAUGCUUCCUAAAAUAAUAUUAUCUAGAUGAAAUCUUAUAUUCUUUAGCACAUGUAAAUAUCAAACAAUAUAUAUAUUUAGAUUCAUAAUCUAUAGAUGUCAUAUAUUAUGAUGCAUAGAGUGGCACUACCUAUUCUAUAUGACAUGUUGUCAUGAGAUGUUAUCAUCCAAACAUAUCAUAUAGACUAAAAGCAAUUAAACAAUAUCAAUUUAUGGUUUUCCUAAGAAAAAAUUGACUUAAUCUACAAGCCUAUUAUCUUGUGGGCUUCAAGUCAAUGUCCAACUUCUUUCUCUUCCUUGUACAUGGUCUUGUUCAAGUCCACUUUUGGCUUUUUUAAUUUAUCCUUGAUUCAAUUUUUAAGACCAAAUUUGCGCACCUUUUAAUUAAAAUUCCAUUGCAUCUUAUUUUUAAAAUAAAUUUUUUAUAAUAUCAAGACCCAAUUAAUUUAAUAAAAUAAGCCAAAAUUUUUUUUUUUUUAAAUCUUAAGCCAAAUAAAUUUUAUUAUUGAUCUUACAAAAUCUUUCAUUUAGAUGACCCAAUUUUGAAAUCUCAAAAUAGGCUUGGUGAGUAAUAUAAAUAAAUUUGGAGUAAUUAAUUCAUAUUAUUCAAUUGAUAACGAAAACUAGACUUGGAUCCAAUAUAAAUAAAUUUGAACUUUUUUCCCAAAACCCAGAUACUUUAGCUAAAUCGUAAACUGUGAAACUAUAGGGUGCCAUUGGGAUAUAAACCCAAAAUCCUAACUCACAUAAUUUUCUUCCAGCCACCACCUCCAGAACAUAUUACAUUCUUCUGGACUUAAAUGUAAAACUGUUGAAAUUUGCUAGAAAACAUGAAACAAUGAAACCUCAGGUGUCCCCAUGAAAAUAUUCAAAAGAAACCCUCGUAUAUCCAACCUUUUCUUUGUAUUCAUAAGUUCUUUGAAUUUUUUUAUAACAAAAUUUAUAUUUAAAUAACUCUUGCACCAGUAAUGGCUUAAAAGGAAUCUAAGAGCAGUGAAAUAUAACAACCAAGAGAGAAACAUAGUGAAAACUCUUGUUAUUAAUGCAAAGGAAAUUUCUAACCAUGAAUUGAGACAACUAUUAAUAUGCUUAACAAAUAUAUCCAAUUACAUAAUGAAAUAAUAUACAAAAUUAGUGCCGGAAUGUUGCCAACACUAAUUAAAACCCUAUCCUCACUUUCAAUUGAAGCUUCACACUCUUUGGUAAGUCGUUGCUGUAUUUUCAUGUUUUUUAUUUUUAUUUCAUGAAUUAGAUAUUAGAUGCUAUGUUAACUAAUUUACUGGUUUUAAUAGUUAAUUUUUAUUGAUUUUCAUUUUAAAUUUCUUGAAGCUAUAUUAUAUUUUUAAAAUUUAACUAUGGAUUUUAUUUCUCUUAAAUCUAGAUACAUUUUGUUGAGGAGCCCAAUUCUAUACAUUGACAAUAUUGUUAAAGUCUAUGCAAGUGCUUGGUCUUAUUUUAUCUAUAGAAUGUACAUAUAUGCAUGCAUAUUAUUACUUAAUGUUCUACAUUUGUGGUCUUGAUGCUAACAACUUUUUAUAUUGGCGACCAGUCUAGGACACUUAGGGAAUACAUGCACCCCACUAGAAUAAGAGCACCAUCAUGCAUAAUCUUUCCUUCUAAUCAUUCAACUUCUUACCUACUUUUCAUGGUUUUGAGUCUAAAAAUCUAUAACUACACUUGAGAGUAUUUGAGGAAGUUUGUAACACAGGGUUAGAUUUGGACAAUAAUGCUAUAUAAAGGCAACUAAUUAAAUGCCUAAGGGGGAGAAAAAAAUGUGAAGAAUAAGAAUAAGUUCCAACAAAGAAAAGAAAGCAAGGAAGAGAGGAAUGUCAAAUUGAAGAGAAGACUUGUCUAUCAUAUCUAGAAUAAGCCUUUCUUUCUCUUGUCUUUCUUUUAGUUUUCUUUAAGGGAAUUGAUUAUUCAAUAAUUUAGACAUGUUUGAGUAGUGCUUUUACUAGUUAAGGUUGAUUUUAAAAACCCUUGAGGAUUUUCAUUAACAAAGUUCAGAAUCAGAUUUCUUCAUCUUUCUCUAAAAAGUUAAUAUUUACUAACUUUAAUUCAAGAAUUGGUAUCUUGUUUCUUUAGAUUAACAACUAGAUGAAUUUGAUGGUGAUUUGACUGCUAGUUUUAGGGUAUUUGAUCCGUAAUUGUCAAAGAGCUAAACCCGAGUGGCAGAUUAUGAUCAAGGUUGUGGGAUAUUUUAAUUUGAUUGCAAGUGGAAUAUAAUCAAGAUAAAUAAACCGAGCUUGUGCCUUUAUUUUUAUUCAGCCUAUAUUCUUUUUUUAUUCUAAUGCUUUCAUUAAAAUUAAUUUAAGCAAUUGGAUGGAUAAUAGCUGAUAUAAAAGAAUUGGUCUUUCUAUGAGUAUGCGCGAAAUCUUGCUUCAUGAUGGAGCAAAGCUAAUUUGAGAAGCUCAACGUCGAUUGAAUCCCCCAAUGAUGGAAGUUGUUGAAAUACUAUGCAACCCAGGAGGGUGGAGGGUGAAUGAGUUUCUAAAAACUUAUGAAAUAAUUAAAACAAAAUCAAUGCAAUUAUCCAAUAAACUCAAAUAAAUAAUAAUCAAAAAUCAAAAUAUAAAGAGGAAGGGAAAGAGAAUCAAGCAUAGAAUUUUUACGUGUUUCGGCAAACUCCACCUACGUCCAUGCCUCCAAGUUCACCGGGCUUAAGGAUUUCACUAUCCAAGCCUUAUACCUUAAGGCUUCAAAAUCUUUACAAUUGACUUCCAUGGUGUCAAUCAAACUUUUACAAUCUAAGCUUAUCUCAAACCUCUUAUCCCAAAUGGUUCCUAUACUUACUCAAAAAUGAAGAUUACAAAGAGUUUUCCCUCACAUAAUGUAUUUGUUUGCCCAAAGUGUGAUUUUAAUGAAAGAAUAACAAGUUUUAAGCACAAGAGAGAUUGAAUACACAAUAACAAGCUCAAUGAUGACGUACAAUCCAUUAUCAUUUGAAUUUGAUUGAGCCUUUCUAUAGUGGUAGUCGAAAACUAGUCGUUGUUGACUUUCUGGGAGUAAUCAGAUCGCCGUCUACUACUGUUGGAUCACCAUUUUGACUUUGUGCAAGUUAUCGUUAUGCAGAAUUAUGAAUAAUCCAUUCACCAUUUGAUGUUAUUGGUUUACAAUUAAGUACCAGUAACUGAUCUGCUAGAAGUCAACUUACCAUUUGGACUUGUCGUUUUGCCGUUUAAUUCCAAAAUCCUGCAAGAAAUAAUCUAUUAUCCAUUUGUGCUAAACAGUAGACCGUUUUUCAGUUAAAUUGCUCUUUGGAAUUUAUUGCUUAACCAUUUUCUAAUAAACGGUUCACUGUUAUCUUCUAGAAUUAAAAUCAUAAAGUUUCCUUUAUAAAACGGUUUGCCGAUUUAAAGUAACAGUUAUCCGUUUAUUUAAAUAAUCUAUUUUAUGUCUAAAAACAUCAUACGACUUUAAGAACUUACCAAUUUUAAUAACUCUUAACAUUUUUAACCUAGUUAGUUAUCAUCAAAAUCAAUGUUAUGAUAAUAUAUAUGUUAACAAUUGUGAAGAAAAAAAUUCUAAAAUUGUUAGAUGGUACAAUAGGAAAGUUUCUUGGAUUUAUGGUACAACGGAGGGAAUCGAGGUUAACCCUAACAAAAUGUGAGUAGUUUCAAAAUGAAAUUGUCAUGCACCAUUAAAGAAGUUGGUGUGCUCUCGCUAGCAACAAAAAAAUAAAUCUAUACUCCUAAAAAUACAUGUAAUGGUGUUUGUAAGGAUUGUUCCCACAUAUAGUAUCUAUCCUAGUUUCAUGCUAUGUGAACCAGGAUGAGGGUUUGAAUAUAACGAAAACAAUUUAAGAAAACAACUAAGGAACAAUUCAAAUUAAAUAUUGAAAUCAAAAAAGAAUAAACCUUGGUCUAAAGCCAACAUCCACCAUCAGAAUUUUAUAACUAGUCAUCGAUGCAAGUAUAUAUCGACUUGCACUUUGAAUCAACCCUAACUACUAAAUAACCCAAGAAGUGCUAAAGAUUUAAUUUAGUAGCAUCCUUAAAAGUAGAGAAAGCGACACAAGAAAAAGUAGUUGCAUUUAGUUUAGUCCAGCAUUCUUCCUAAGAUGUCAUGCCCCAAACCUGAAAAAGUGUAAGGGUGAUUUUUCUAUCAAUCAAUAUCUAAAAAGUGUGGAUACAUAUUGAGAAUGAGACCACUUAAACAUUUGUGAAUUUUUAAAAUUAGAGUUCAACAAAUAAUUCACAAAAAUAAAAUGAAAAUUACAUUUAAUAGGUCCCAAAAAGUCUCAUAAUCUCAUUACGCAUGUCAAAAAGUCUUCUAAGACUAAGGGCACCAAUAAAUGUGAUUUGCCAAAUCUGUCACACGCUAGAUCCAUCAGUUAUCUAGGAACCACAAUAAACUAUAGUAAGUAUCAAAACUAGGUUCUCAUAUAACAAAACCAAAAACAUGCAUGUUAUAAAUGGCAUGAAUGCAAACUUACUUUCAUUCAUAGGUUUCACAUUUCAAAUCACUAAAAAAACUCAGUCUUAUCCUAGGGAAUACCCAUGCUUCGCUACCACUUAGUAGGAUUCUUGGUCAAACUGAUUGGUAUCAGAGCCACACGUUCUCAAGUGGUAUCAUAGUUUGAUGUGUUCAAGUGUUACUUGUAAACCUAGAAGAAAUCUUAUCAAUAUGGCAUCUUCAUCUACGAAUCCAGUUUCCACUGAAUCCUCUCAUAUCUCGCUUUCUCUACUCUCUUUCUCUUCUUGUCAAAACUUUGCUUCAAAAAAAAUCUCGUCGAAUACUCGUAUAUUCCUGAUCUGCCCAGAUCAAUGAGUCACAGUUUCCGUAAUGAGCCCAUACCAUCUUUACAAGUAGAAAAUUCUUUCACCAGAAGCAUCAGAACCUUGAUUUCCACUAAAAGACCUCUACCCAAAGAAUACAUCCAGUCAUCGAGACUAGACCAGUAUGCUCUCCAAGCCUCUCAAGUAAGCAUAUCUCGAGAUCUACUAUCUAACCAACUGGAAACGAGAAGGGUAUACAAACCUCCAUCUUGGAGGAGUAAGGCUAAUCCUCACUUUACAUGGAAGAAAAUGCNNNNNUUAAUUAAUUAANNNNNUAGAAACCCAAGACAGCCAAUUAGAAAUGUUACCAAAUCCCCCGCUCUGCGGGGAUGUCCUCAGCGCCGAGGAACAUGUACAAGGGUGUAUGUGCGACUCGUUUCAAUCAUGGGCUGAGACAAACCAAAAGAAAGAAACCUUUUUUAAGUAUCAAUGAUCAGUACCUGUGAAUCGGAUAGAAUAGAAGAAGAAGAACUCCAUUCACUAUCUAAAAAAAGAUCGAUCUAUCAUAUCUUUCUAUUGUGUAUGAAAUUUAUGGUUUCCACUGGCGCAAAUUCCACCACCUCAAUUUGCAAUUAAUUUAAGGUGAGAAAGAAUUCCCCAUUGGUAACAAAUAGUUAUCCAUUAAGCGGGGGAAAUACUAUAAAAAAAGCAGAAAGAUUAUCUUUCUACUCUUGCAAGAACGGACUAACAAGGUCAGCUACCCCACCAAUCUUCAUAAUUAAAUACCGUUACUGUAUAAGGUCUAUCUCGUUAUGAAAGACCUAUUACUAGAAAAUUCAUGGGUAGAGCCGAAGAGUGGUAACUGUACAAGUUACCAAUAGAAUUGAUUAAAUGAAGGAAGUGGCUCCGGUGUAUAGAGAGGGCCUCACCGUUUAAGAAGUAAUCAUAGAGACGACGGAACCCACAAUUUCUUUAUCUAUUUACUACUUUCGUUUUUUUUUUACUAUUUUCUUUCCAAUGCCUCGACAAAAGGUAAAAGCGUGGUCGGGAAGGUUAGAGUAGCAAAAGCCAUUGGAAUUUUGAUUUUAUAAAUUGGAAGAGUCCGUUUUGUUAUUAAUAGACUAGGAAAGGGGAAAAGAAUAACUGAAAGAAAGGAAAUCAAUUAGUUAUUCAUCAAAGUUUCAUUUAUUCAAUGACCAGAAUUAGACGAGGAUAUAUAGCUCGGAGACGUAGAACAAAAAUGCGUUUAUUUGUAUCAAGCUUUCGCGGGGCUCAUUCACGACUUAGCCGAACAAUUACUCAACAGAAAAUAAGAGCUUUGGUUUCGGCUCAUCGCGAUAGAGAUAGGAAAAAAAGAGAUUUUCGUCGUUUGUGGAUCACCGAAUAAAUGCAGUAAUUCGCGGAAAUCUGGUAUCCUAUAGUUAUAGUAGAUUAAUAUACAAUCUGUAUAAGGCGCAGUUGGUUCUUAAUCGUAAGAUACUUGCACAAAUAGCUAUAUCAAAUAGGAAUUGUCUUUAUAUGAUUUCCAAUGAGAUUAUAAAAUAAGGAAAUUGGAAGGAAUCCAUUAUAAUUUUUAAACGGAGUUCUCUGGAGAAUGAACUCCAGUAAGAGGAAGGUAGAGUAGAAUAAUAUGAUAAAGUCGUCAAAAUGAGCGAACACGCUCAAUAAAAAAAAAGAUUGAUUUUAUUCUUCUUUCCCAAUCUUUUUUUUUUUUUUUCUUACGGCACGGCUGCUUCACAGAUUUUUUGAACAAAACAUCCAUCUGUGUGUUUGAGUUGAUUGGAAUUUUUAUUUAAUUGAAGAGUAAGCCUAUUUUUUCUGGUUCUAAGACCGGGAGGUCUAGCGGUCAACCCACUUCUUUCAAAUUGUUUCUCAUUAUUAAGAAAAGGUAACGAAGAUAAAAUACGAGCUUGUUUUAUAGCAAUAGUAAUUAAUCGUUGUUCUUUUAAGGUCAAUCUAUUCACCCGUCUAGAUAAUAUUUUUCCUUGUUCACUAAGAAAUCGACUAAUUAAAGUCAUGUUUCUAUAAUCAAUUCGAUCCCCCGAUUGGAUCGGGGCAAACGCCUACGAAAGAUCGCUUGGAUUUAAGAAAGAGUCGCUUGGUUUUAUCCAUAAUUUGUUUAUUCCUUAUCCCUAAAAUCCCAUUUCGAUGAAAUCAAAAAAUGAUUUAUAGAAUCCAUUAUAGGAUUUGGUUUGUCUAGAUUUAUUUAUUUGUUUUUAUUAAAAUAUAUGAAAUAAUCUAGAUAUAUAUCUAGAUUAGUUUUUCAUGUCCCUUGGAAGGGUGACACAAAAGCACGCGGCUUGACUCUAUCUAUUUUUUUAUCUCCCCAUGAAGUGUAUGCUUGUAACAAUAGGGACAGAAUUUUCUCAAUUCCAAUCGACUGGGUGUAUUGUGUCGAUUCUUUUGAGUAAUAUAUCUGGAAAUACCCCUUGAUUCCUUAUUAACACCGUUCGAACACAACUAGUACAUUCCAAAUAACCCUUACUCGGACCUCUUUACCCUUGGCCAUGAACCUCCUUGGGGUUUUUGAUUCACCCAACUUUUCUAUUUUCCGACCCGCAACGAAUAAGAAGCACGGGACAAAAAAAAUAGAAGUUGCUAACCACUCAAAAAAAACUUAUGAAAUAAAGAUUUUAUUGCAAUCAAUAUAGUAAAUAAAUAGGAAAUCAAAAUAAAAAAUAAUAAGUAAUACAAGAAUUUCUAACUAUAUUGCUAAAUCGCAGUCCAGUUUUCAUUUAAGGAUCUUGUAGUGGAGGAUACUCUUACCCUAGCCAUAUUUCGAUUUCCGUUUUCUUUUACCUGUCUAUUUGCUUUUAACUGGAUAAUUAAUAAUUAAUUUAAUCGGAGCCUGAACCCGGGUUUCGCUGAGGUUGAAGCCACCUUUUUUCUUUCGCUUUCCUUCUUUCUAAUUGUAAAACAAAAAACGAAAAGAGGGGAAAGAGAGAUUAGUCACAAAUAUUUGAUUCUAGCUCUAAUCUUCUUCACCCCGUUCCAGUUCAAUAACUAGAAUGAAAAAAAAGGAAAUGUCAAUGCGUCGGGAAUAAACGGUUGAUUUCUAUCAAUAACCCUGCUAAAGACCCGAACCAUAGUACUUAGUACCGGUGCCACGGAAAGAUAUGUUUUUAGAUCUCGCAUUGAAAAUCCUCCUUCUUUUUUGUUUUUGUAUUCCCUAUUGGAAUAUAUUAUGGUAAGAGAUGUAUAUGUAGUUAAAGGCCCACUUGUAUUUGUGCGCGGAAUCCCUAAUUCAAAUUGAAAUGCGCAAUGAUUCGGUAUAAUAAGAUUUGAUUUUCUUUUUUUUUCUUAAAACAGAAAAAGGGUCACUUUACACCUGCGAAUUCCCAAAAAAAUAAUAAUUUAUUAUUAUUAUAUGUAUAUGAUAUGAGACCAAAAACAAGAAAAGGCAAGAUCCAUUUUGCAUAUCACUAGAGGGAAUAAAAAAUAAGGAUGUUGGAAAACAAGACAGGGAUUCUUUACAAUGAUAUUGUAGGCCAAUUGAAAGGGAUGUAGCGCAGCUUGGUAGCGCGUUUGUUUUGGUACAAAAUGUCACGGGUUCAAAUCCUGUCAUCCCUACCAAUUACCGCUCAGAGCAGCAGUAACGCGAGAUCUUUUUUUUUUUUUUUUCGAUCGAUUUCAUUUUGACAUACAUAAUUUCUAUUUUAUGAUAUAUGAUAGUAUACACAUACAAGAAUUGUUGGGUAAAAAAAGAGAAUCUCCUUAUUUCCAGCCUUUUUCGUUGUGAUAAGAAAGCGCUCUUAGUUCAGUUCGGUAGAACGUGGGUCUCCAAAACCCAAUGUUCGUAGUUCAAAUCCUACAGAGCGUGAUUCCGCUCUUGUCGUCUUAGAUCUAAAACCAUACACACUGAACUGAAAUAAUUGAACAGCAUCUGAAUUUGACCCUGACCUCCCCCUCGGAUUAAAUAAAGAAGGGAGGGGUCAGUUAAAAAAAGAGAUGUUAAUUAAUCAAAGGUCCAACUGAUCACCACGUCUGUAUUGUAAAUAGGCGGUUACGAAUAAUCCAGCCAAAGUAAAUAGGAAUUAGACCUAAGACGAUUCCAAAUAGAAAGACUCAAUCAUUGAAUUUUAUUAUUUUUUUUUUUAUUUGAAAGGUUAAAAAGAGAGGUAAUAUCUAUCCUAAAUAUUAAUCUGCCUUGCCUAGGAAUCUCAAUAACCAAUAAUUGGUAAUUAACGUGGUACGGUAAGGAACUAGACAAUAUGUGGAAUACCACAGAAGGGUUUCUUUUUAUGAAUUAUUCCUUCAAUUAAUUUCAAAUAAGUCCUAUCUUACUCAGACCAAUAAAUAGAGCCGAGGUUAUAGUUAAAGCCGCUAGUAGAAAACCAAAAUAACUAGUUAUAGUAGGCAUGACAGAGCUAAAGGAAAUAUGUUCUUUUUAUACAUAUGUUUAUAAAGCACUUCCCUAAGUUUCCACUUUUGGACGAUACGAAGAUAAGCAAAAAUGCUCUACCCAUUGAAAGAAUACCUUCAAUUGAAAGUUUUGAUUCUUCAAGUAUUCUAGAAGGUAACUAACAAAAUGAGUGGCAGGGAUAGAAAAAGAAACCAAUUCAUCGUCUUUUACAGCGACCCAUCCCACGAUUCCGAAUCAACAGAUUGAGUGGGCAACUCUUGAAUCAACUAAUAUUAAAAAAAUACUAAAAACUAUGCCAUGUAACUUGAGGAAUCGCUUCUAUUUUGUAUUUUAAUUUUUCUUUUUAUUGUAUCAAAUACAUUUUCGACUAAAGAGUGACCACCUUAUAAUACUUUUUUUCUUUACUUUAAUACUUUAAAUAACCUUUGCUUACUUUUUUCUUUUUUAUUUCUUUUUGACUUUAUUUUAUUUACUUUAUAUUUUUAACUCAUUAGGUUCAGCGGUGGGUUCAUUCCCAUAAUAUUUCAAAUGAGAAGAAAAAAGGUAUCGCACAAUCAGAUCACUCAAAAAAGAAAAUUUUUAUUUCGGUUCAAUUCGAUUCUAAAACUAAGUAAGAACUCCUAUUAUCUUUUCCUUUAUAGAUUUUUCUAUUUUGUCUUUCCAUAUUAUCUAUAAAGGAUAAAGCCCACGCGUUGUAGGUAGGUCAAGAAAGAACCCUUGGGUCUAAUACACAACAACGCGGGCAUGACAAAUCUAGAUUAUUAGAAUUAUUUUAGGCAUUUUUCGCGUUCUGUUAUUUUUAUCGAAUCCUAUCUCCCGCCGUUACUUGUUUUUGGACAACUAACCAAUUCCUUGAAAAAAAAAAAAAAAAAGGAGGAUAAUUACAACAAAAAAUUCUACAUCUACGAAAAGGAGAUUUGUAGAUCUCAUAUCGAAUUGAAAUGGGGAAAUAUGAUAAUCUUCAUCAUGAAUUAUUAGAAA